AGAGUUUGAUCCUGGCUCAGAGCGAACGCUGGCGGCAGGCCUAACACAUGCAAGUCGAGCGCCGUAGCAAUACGGAGCGGCAGACGGGAGAGUAACACGUGGGAACGUACCCUUUGGUUCGGAACAACCCAGGGAAACUUGGGCUAAUACCGGAUAAGCCCUCACGGGGAAAGAUUCAUCGCCGAAGGAUCGGCCCGCGUCUGAUUAGCUAGUUGGUGGGGUAAUGGCCCACCAAGGCGACGAUCAGUAGCUGGUCUGAGAGGAUGAUCAGCCUCACUGGGACUGAGACACGGCCCAGACUCCUACGGGAGGCAGCAGUGGGGAAUAUUGGACAAUGGGCGCAAGCCUGAUCCAGCCAUGCCGCGUGGGUGAUGAAGGCCCUAGGGUUGUAAAGCCCUUUCGGCGGGGAAGAUAAUGACGGUACCCGCAGAAGAAGCCCCGGCUAACUUCGUGCCAGCAGCCGCGGUAAUACGAAGGGGGCUAGCGUUGCUCGGAAUCACUGGGCGUAAAGCGCACGUAGGCGGAUUGUUAAGUCAGGGGUGAAAUCCUGGAGCUCAACUCCAGAACUGCCUUUGAUACUGGCGAUCUUGAGUCC
rnacentral:rRNA from 1 species